CCAAGUAGCGUGCAGGAUUGACGGCCCUAUGGGUUGUAAACUGCUUUUGUUGGGGAGUAAAGUGAGGCACGCGUGCCUUUUUGCAUUUACCCUUCGAAUAAGGACCGGCUAAUUCCGUGCCAGCAGCCGCGGUAAUACGGAAGGUCCAGGCGUUAUCCGGAUUUAUUGGGUUUAAAGGGAGUGUAGGCGGUCUGUUAAGCGUGUUGUGAAAUUUAGGUGCUCAACAUCUAACUUGCAGCGCGAACUGGCGGACUUGAGUGCACGCAACGUAUGCGGAAUUCAUGGUGUAGCGGUGAAAUGCUUAGAUAUCAUGACGAACUCCGAUUGCGAAGGCAGCGUACGGGAGUGUUACUGACGCUUAAGCUCGAAGGUGCGGGUAUCGAACAGGAUUAGAUACCCUGGUAGUCCGCACGGUAAACGAUGGAUGCCCGCUGUUAGCGCCUGGCGUUAGCGGCUAAGCGAAAGCAUUAAGCAUCCCACCUGGGGAGUACGCCGGCAACGGUGAAACUCAAAGGAAUUGACGGGGGCCCGCACAAGCGGAGGAACAUGUGGUUUAAUUCGAUGAUACGCGAGGAACCUUACCCGGGCUGGAAUUGCAGACGCAGGAUACAGAGAUGUUGACUCCCUUCGGGGGCGUCUGUGAAGGUGCUGCAUGGGUUGUCGUCAGCCUCG
rnacentral:rRNA from 1 species